UGAAGCAACAUCUCAGAAUUGAAUCGGGGAACGAGGAAUCAAAAAAAGGUUAACAAUUUGGAUCAUUUUGGAAGAUACAUACGCCGCGCUUUUCAAAGCGGACAGACGUGCCCUUGUCCAACUGAAACGAACACACGUGUCCUGUUGAACUUGAAAAAAGACGAAAUUAUUUUAAAAAGAUCAUGGUAACUCGUGAAGCAACAUCUCAGAAUUGAAUCGGGGAGUUGUGUAUUUGCUGGCAAUCCGGGCCUGCUUGGAUCAUUUUGGAAGAUACAUACGCCGCGCUUUUCAAAGCGGACAGACGUGCCCUUGUCCAACUGAAACGAACACACGUGUCCUGUUGAACUUGAAAAAAGACGAAAUUAUUUUAAAAAGGUAUAUUGUUGCUAAAUAAUAGAUUUUUUUUUAAUUAAAAUAUUUGACAGAUCAUGGUAACUCGUGAAGCAACAUCUCAGAAUUGAAUCGGGGAGUUGUGUAUUUGCUGGCAAUCCGGGCCUGCUUGGAUCAUUUUGGAAGAUACAUACGCCUGCGCUUUUCAAAGCGGACAGACGUGCCCGUGUCCCACUUGACAAAGGCGGAAUUAUUUUAGGAAAGACCAUGGCAACUAGUAAAGCAGAAUCCGAGAAUUCAAUCGGCGGCUGUAUGUUGACUGACAAGAAUAUAAUUGCUGUUAAUCCGGCCCUGCUUCUUGUACAAAUGCAUAGUGGGGAGACAUGAACAUUUUUCGAAAAUGCGGCCCUAUCCUCUUGGGAUUCUACGUUGGACAAAUUCUGAAAACGACCCAGAAAUAUAAUUGGAGGUUCAAACCCGUGCGAGGUGAGGUUUGAUAUAUGAAACAGACCAGUCAUGGGGACACGAGAUAUGGAAAGUUUCAGCGUAGUCGUCGCCACAUUGCUGCCAACACUGCAUAUAUAAGGAAUCACGAACCAUUCAGGUAAAAUUUUGAAAACACAUAGUUAUGGCAAUAUAGAACCUCUCUUUUUUUAACAGGAAUAUUGAGACUUAGACCAGUAUCUUUUAAGUAGGCAUGUGGGGUAAAGAAGACGCAGAAGCUUCACUCGGGUACCGUCGGUAACGUAGGCGAUUGAUAUAUUUCCACCACUACAUAUGUUGGAUUGGAAUUUCCCAUUUGAUGCUUUGACUGACUAAAUGAGGAAACUUGGAGGUAAGCUCUUACGGAAUUCUAUCGAAAUAUGUUUAGUAACAUAUUGGUGCAUUACUCUGUCUUCCAGUCAGUUUCACAUAAACUUUGCACGUAUUAUAGAAAUCCCACCUACUUUUUUUUGUGUUAAUAUUAUUGAAAGUAGUAGCUGGUAGCUGUAGUCAUAAGCCCAGAGAGUCUCUGUUUUGAACAUAAUACACAAAAUGGGGCGUUCAAAAACAAUAGACUGCAUGCCUUUUAGAGUCGGCGUAAACUAUGGUCAUAUACCCCUGAUCAAAUUCAGAACUA